CUUAGAUACAUUGCUGGAGGUUGUGUUUGUAGAUUACCCAGGUAUUUGUUGUAGAGUAUAGGUUGUAGAGUCCAACUUUCCAAAUAUUUGGCUAGAAUUGGUUGCAGAUAUUGAAUCAGCAUCAUCUGUUAUCACCGUGGUGAUGGCGUUGGUAUUUGUCUUUGCCUUUUGUCUCUGCUUUUUAUUUUGUUUGUUUUUUCCAUGAAACAUUUUUACACCGUUUAUGAUGUGUAUAGAUUGGAUACUCUCUGAUAUUCUUUUACGGAAUAAAUUAAUUGACAGCAUUUCCAAGACAUUGUCUUAAGUGACAUGGAUCCCGUUAUAGUAAAUGUUAUGUUGAUACAGCAAUCGAAGUGGAUUCUCAGGAACACCUCUUUUUGCUGUAUUGGAAUCUUUGUAACAUCUCAGUGAUAGACAACUCACUGACAUCAGGUGCUGUUGUGCAAAAAAUGUUAACAGGUAAAAUCUGUG